rnacentral:rRNA from 1 species
AACGAACGCUGGCGGCAGGCCUAACACAUGCAAGUCGAGCGCAGUCCUUCGGGACCGAGCGGCGGACGGGUUAGUAACGCGUGGGAACAUACCCUUUUCUACGGAAUAGCCUCGGGAAACUGAGAGUAAUACCGUAUAAGCCCUUCGGGGGAAAGAUUUAUCGGGAAAGGAUUGGCCCGCGUUAGAUUAGAUAGUUGGUGGGGUAAUGGCCUACCAAGUCUACGAUCUAUAGCUGGUUUUAGAGGAUGAUCAGCAACACUGGGACUGAGACACGGCCCAGACUCCUACGGGAGGCAGCAGUGGGGAAUCUUAGACAAUGGGCGCAAGCCUGAUCUAGCCAUGCCGCGUGUGUGAUGAAGGUCUUAGGAUCGUAAAGCACUUUCGCCAGGG